rnacentral:lncRNA from 1 species
ACAUCGUGACAGUUCCUCAGAUCCCACGUGGUAAUUUCACAAUUUGGAGAUUUUGCUCGCUGCGGAGUUUGUACGAUACUUCGUAGCUACCUGCCUGCCUCCUACCCACGGCUCUGCUUCCCUCCUUGGCACCGGCGGAACCCUAACCCUAAUCCUAAUCCCAAUCCUCUUCACCAGCAAUUGUUGCUUCCCGCCCUGCUAGAUUCCGCCUGAACUUGUAGGUGCUUUAUGCCUUUUUGUAAU